ACUGUUGGAUCCGCAGAACCAUAAAUUUCACUUUUUUUUGUUAUACUUUUUUUGCAUUUGGAGUUGAAUGUUGCUGUCUUUCUUGCAGUCGUGCAUCAUACUACGAGCUGAUGAAAAUUGAUAAAAUAGGACGGAUUCUAUAGUUUGUAGAAAAGCCAAAGGGAUCUGAUCUGAAGAAAUUGGUAUGUUCAUGGUAUCAAAAGCCUCAAACUUCUAACAUGUUGCUUUACAACUGCAGUAAGUUGACGCUACUGUCCUAGGGUUAUCUACAGAAGAAGCAAAGAAACAUCUUAGAUUGCAUCAAUGGGGACUUCAGGAGGAGGAGAUCUUCUCCCUUUGGGAACAAGUUGAUAUUGCCUGUAUGAAUGAGCUGCAGAUGUUGAAUGAGAAAUGCAAUUUGGAGAGACAAUUCUCUGAACUAAGAAUGAUACAUUGUAGCUGAGCAACUUUCCGGUGAAGUAUAGAGAGCUAAGCAAUGAUGGGGAAUUCGAAAAUAUGAAUGAUGUUACUGUGUUUCCAGUUACUGAAGUUGAUUUAAUGCAUUAUUAUAGAACAGGUGCAAAGUAAUACCCCAUAGAAUAUUAAACUAUGAAUAGUCAUUUAAUAUAGUAAGCAAAGAAUUUGCAAUCAUGGAAAAUACAAUAAUCUUCUUUAACAUUAUUAGCAUGUUUAAGUUUUGCAUUUUUAUAGAAUUGAAGCUUGGAAUAUGAGCUCAAGUCUAAAAAACGAAGAGUAAAAGGUAAGAUCAAAUUCAGUUGAACUAUACUAAAAAUGUUUUACUUAGCAUAUGUUAAUUUUUAAUUCUAACUUCACUCAAUUAUUUUGUGUAGGCUCCUGAUUAUGCUAUGUCAUUUAUUAUAGUUUCUAUUCCUGUAUCAUCUCUUUUUUUCUUCUGUCUUUUUGGCUAAGAUUUUUUUUUUCUUUUUGCUUUUAAUGUGUAAUUAUGUUUUGAAAGUAAUUGUAAAAAUUUGGUAAUUUGAAUACUAUUGGAUCUCUACUAUGUACGUAUGAUUUUGAAUGGUGAUGAUAUUAUUCAUCAUUAAGUGGGGGUGUAUAGUAUUGGACAAAUAGUCUAUGUGUAUUUGUUGUGUUCAUAGAGGAUACAAGACAAGGGCAAGGGAUUUGGUUCAUAUGUGAAAUCUUGAAAGCUAAAAUGGUUUGUGAGGAAAAUUGGUAAUUGUCAUUUUUUUGCUGAGAGAUCUUUUCAAUUUUGUCAUAUUUUGAAGGAAAAUUAGAACAAUGUAAUAUUAUAUGUUGCUUUUGUUAUGCUUCUUUCGUAGGAUCUGUUGAUAGUAGAAUAAGAGAAUUUAGCACAAAUAUAUCUCAUGUUCUGCUUUUUCAUUUUUUUUGUUGGGGGUGGGAUUAAUA